GUCAGGAUGGCCGAGUGGUCUGAGGUGCCAGGUGCAAGGUAUGUAGGCUUCUAUGAUAAUAGGUGUUCUGGUCUCCAGUUGGAUGUGUGGGUUCAGAUCCCAUUUCUGACA